rnacentral:rRNA from 1 species
UAGGGAAUAUUGCGCAAUGGGGGAAACCCUGACGCAGCAAUUCCGCGUGGAGGAUGACGGAUUUCGGUCUGUAAACUCCUGUCAGUAGGGAAGUAUGGACGGUACCUACAGAGGAAGCACCGGCUAACUACGUG